rnacentral:pre_miRNA from 1 species
GUGUCGAAUGUGAGGAUUGGAGAAUAUUAAACAGAAAAGCAUAUCAUCUUGUUUCUUUCAUCUGUUUAAUUUUCUCCAAUAUCUCAUUUCCGGCAU